rnacentral:lncRNA from 1 species
UGAGUGUGAAGACCUGAGGUAUCAGGGGUAGGGGUUGCUCUGCUUGUGUAAGUCCCAUAGUGUGAAGGCCAGAGAACCAAGAGAUGGUCAAGAAGAGAGAGUAAGUGUCCAAUGUCCCAGCUCAAGAAGAGAGACAAGACCAACCCCGCCUCUUCCUUCUCCUUCUCGACCUACUCAAAGUAAAGAUGAGGAUGAAGACCCUUAAGAUGAUCCACUCCCACUUAAUGAAUAAAACUUUUGUGGAUAGCUAAGUUACUGCUAGCCAUCUGAUUAUAGCAAUGGCUUCCAGGAGCAUCACGACCUGUGCAGACUCCCCAGCAUCAUAACAGGAAGGUCCCACGAUCACGAGCACAUUGCCUUCAGCAUCCAGCACUGAAUAUGGUGAAUUGCACUCUGAAGAGCUUCCUAAGCUUGUAAGAAAGUGAUUCUGAAAAGCUCAACAUUUUGGUAGAAUGGAGAGAUUUGACAUUGCUUCUGCUCCAAAAGCAAAAGACUUGGGAAGGGCACCCUGGGAGUUGAGAACAUCCACCACAGAGAGGCCUGGCGUAAAGGAGAUGGGACUCACACCCAAGAGGAUGCAUUUCCAUACACCCAUUUCUGAAAUAUGAAGAGGUGUCCAGUCUGUUUGAUUCAUAGCUGCCUGUUCCACAACUGCAGAUACAGUAAUUGAUAACCGAGACCAAGUUCUCAUCCCCAUCUCCCAGGGCUGGAACUGGGGCUGUGUUUGGUUCUCAUAAGAUCAGUUCCAGUUUUAGAAACUGAGUAAAUUGUGGAGUAAAUAUUGCCAAGUGAUGGCUUUCUGCUGUAGGCGUGGGUCGCUGUUGGCCAUUUGCCUCAGCAUAUCACCAGCAAUGCACCUCAUUGCAUCACUGCAUUUCCAAUUACACCUCAAAGCACCACUGGUCCCCUGUCCACCCUCUGCCCUGCAGAGGUGGGUGUUCAGGGAGACAGAUCCAAAAUCUGGGCUCAGAAGAUGGAAAUGCCAACUGCUCUCAAUUUGAGAGUGGGGAUGAGACUUUUUGACUCAACUCUGGUUAAUUCAGCCAUGCUGUCAGAGCUGCUUUGAUGCAAGGACAUCUGAAUGCUAUCUGAAUGCUGCCCCUAAAAUAACAAAUUAAAAACAACAACAACAACAAAAAUCAA